GUGUCUGAACAACGAGGAGAAGGCGGAAGUCGUCCAAAUGAGGUCACAAGGGGAGCGACUCCUCUGCAGCCUUAGGAAGGAGAACCUGACGACCUGGAAAGACCCAGAAACGGAACGUGCCCGACGCGUGUUCACCCUGACGGGGUCGGAGGGCGGCGGCGUGUGGCAGCCGGUGUCUGAGCUGCCCUUCAGGGCUGAUAAGUGGUGCUUCACCACGGCCGUCCUGUAUAACUACCUGUACAUCAUCGGAGGCUAUCGGCAGCGAGUGAAGAGGGGCUGGGAGUUUAAAAUGGCUUCCUUCAGGUUUAAUCCUCUGACUCGUGCAUGGGUCACCACUGCUCCACUAAUUAAGGUAAGACAGUCAUUUAUUUUGUCUUUUUAAUCAUUUACACGACAAUAAUGGAAGCAGCCACCAUCUGUUGUGUGUGCAGCACAGAAGGCACUUCAGUGCAGUGGCCUGUGAAGGCUGCAUUUAUGCUGUGGGGGGCUGGUAUUUGGACUCUCUGGUCACCCCAGACUCCUGCACAGCUCUCUAUACAGCUGUAGAACGCUAUGAUCCAUGGGAGGACACGUGGAGGUUUGUCUCCUCGCUGCCGCUCACUGACUUCCAGUUCACCAUGUCUCUGUCCCACGAUGUGCCCCUUGCUACAAGCCUCGGACACAACAUGUAUGUACUGGGAAGCAUCCAGAGAACGGGAGAGAAACUGCUGCUGCAGUACAACACAAGGCAAGACUCCUGGUCUGAGCUGCUUCCCACGCUCACGAGAGCCGAUGCAGACAUCCCCACACUUUACUUCCUGGGCGCCACCGACAGGCUGCACGUGAUUGGUGGAAACAACUCGGAGAAUCUGGUGACGUCGUUCUGCGUGCGGUCCCAGAAAUGGGGGCAGGUGCACAGGGCUGAGAAGGUGGGGUUUGCAGGACAGGGGACGGUUGCAGGCGAUCAGGUCCUGCUGCCAAGUAUUGAGCACAACACUGUUGCAAGAAUGGAUCUGCACACUCUGUCCCUCACAACUCUGCCUCCUCUGCCAGUCUGCACCUGCUAUGAAGCCAUCUUUCAUCUCCAUUUCUAACGAUGGGUUUUGGGUCUACGAUUGUUCAUUAAACUUGAAAAUUCAUUCAUUUCAGCCACUUUCAUUAAUUACAGAAAAGAUGAUCAUGUCAUUUCCAGGUACAGAUGCUGUUAUCAUCAGUGAUAUUACAGUAACAGUAAUUUUAGCUUUAACUAUACACUAAAUAAAAUACAUUUACAGCCUGAUGCA
rnacentral:lncRNA from 1 species